UACGUAGGGCAAGCGUUGUCCGGAAUCAUUGGGCGUAAAGCGCGUGUAGGCGGUCCGGUAAGUCGGCUGUGAAAGUCCAGGGCUCAACCCUGGGAUGCCGGUCGAUACUGCCGGACUAGAGUUCGGAAGAGGCGAGUGGAAUUCCCGGUGUAGUGGUGAAAUGCGCAGAUAUCGGGAGGAACACCAAUGGCGAAGGCAGCUCGCUGGGACGUUACUGACGCUGAGACGCGAAAGCGUGGGGAGCAAACAGG
rnacentral:rRNA from 1 species